rnacentral:rRNA from 1 species
GUCUAUGGCUGUACAAAUGUGCCUAACCUUGUCUGAUCUUGGAAGCUAAGCAGAGCUGGGCCUGCUUAGCGCUUGGUUGGAAGACUAACUGGGACUAACAGGUGCUGUAGUUU